AGAAGAGUUUGGAAGAAGAAAACAUGCUGCGCCGACCCCAAAUAAAAUUGGGAUAAGGGCAGGAGGAUGAUGAUGAUGAUCCAGAAGUGGGUUUAAUAGGAAAGCAAACAUGAUCAUUCAUUUUAGCACAGUAUACCUAAUCGUAUUAUUCCUUAUCAGAACUGAAUCGUUAAAAGUUGCACAUGUACACAUACAGAAGUCAUCAUCGUUCCACCACCGUAAUCAAUCGAUUAUAAUAAAAGUAUUGUAAUCAAAAUGAAUAACGUCAUAAGUACUGAAACAAAACGUGAAUAGUGUAACCAGUCACCAGUGUUAUAUUAAACUGCGCAAUACACAUUUUAUACACAUUAAACCUUUUUAUGCAAACAGUUCUCUUAAUUUAAUUUCCUCUAAAAAAAUAUUUCGAUGGGGGGAAAAGUGUCUAAACGAGCUUUAAUAAAAAGAUAGUGAAUACUUACAUCAACAUACUGUACGUCUAGCGGUGGACGGGAAUGGUAGUAGAGUAGCAGAAGUGCGUCGAUGCCAACUCCGCACACCAGACCGAUCUCGAUACCCAGGAAUAGGCAGCACAGGAACGUGCCCAAAAGCGGGAUGAUGUCCAGCCCUGUUUAAUUGUAAACUAAUGGGGAGACACGAAAUAACAAAAGCAACAAUGGAUGAAACUUGGCAACUCUUGAACUUCGUCGUCUACCAUCAAGUGGAAUAACAUUAUAAUCUUUAGUGGGAUUACAAGGGGCCCUCCAAGUACCUGGCUGAAUACGAAAAUGGAAUUUAAUGGAAUACUAUAGUAGCACGGCGCACACGAUGACGGAGGCCAGCGCGGCGCGAGGGAUGAAGUAGAAGUAUGGCGUCAGCAAUACUAACAAGCAGAAUGUACCCAGUUCUAUUAAACGGAGCCACAAAUGGUUGUAACAAUUAAUAUCAAUAAUUCAGCUACUAAUUCCGAGUGUCCCUAUUUCAACACACCUGUAUAGUACUCCUAAUUAAUACAGGAUCUAUUGAGAGAUUAACACGAACGUUAAUUGCAUCGCUAUUAUUACGAUUACAAUCGAGACGUGACACUGAAGGAGAAAUAAUGGCUUGUUACGAUGUGCUAUAAAUAAAUAGUUCUCAAGAUAAAUCUGUUACUGAUAAUAAUCUUCUUUGUGACAUAUAAAUUAGUCUGGACUUGGUGACCUGUAAUAAUUACAGUAAUUAAUUACGAAGAAUUACAAGCAAUUGAUAUAAAUUGAUUUGAAAAGUUACGUUUUGAAGAAGUGAGGUUCCAUCAAAAAAAUAUGAGUUAUAAAGAACAAUAACAACAGUGCAAUGUGCAUCAUAACAUACAAAUCCAGAUGGUGUUAUGACAAAGGAUAAGUCGAAACCAAUCACACAAACUAUAAUAAAAACAAUGAAAUCGGCAAAUCGCCAUGAAUACCCGAAAAGGUGAAUGUAUUCAACACAAUAGAGUCACAAAUUUACGUGACAGACAGAUAAAGGGAGCCUCUUGAUAUUUCAGACGUGUAUUUGAAAUUGUAAAACAACACAAACUUGGCUAUGACAGUAAACUACGAUGCAAACUUUUAGAUUUAUGAAGUACCCACUACAUAACUCCACCGCGCUGUUGUCGCACAUGGUAAAAAUGAUUUAUGUCGGUAGAUUUACAUUUGUCUUACUUCAACCACCCAUUUCUGUUAAAACUAAUCCUAAGAUUAAACGGCGGAGAUUUCGCGUCUCCAAAAUUAAACAACCCACAAAUCACCCGUGGUUGUUCGAAAUUCAAAGAAGUUUCGAAGGAUUUCACUGAACUGAAUUUAAAACCCAAGCAGGCGAUAAUAUUGCAUCAUUUAUUGGAUGUCUCUUUUAAUGUAUUAAUUAUUCAACCGAUUAGAGAAACAUUUCAAUUCGUGCUCUUUGUUCGUUAAUAAGCUAGAUCAUGACGCUUUAAUGUUUCGUCGUUCUAUUUUGUGAAUCGAACUAUAAACACAUUUUGAAUAAUAGAUAAGUGUUGUGAUUAAAUUCAAUAACAUAGAACUAUGGGAGUGUAAAACAUAAUUGAUUAAUUACGCCUGUUAUGGAUACAAUAUAAUUCACAACAUGAUAGUCAUUAUGUAAGGCAACAUAAGAUGUUGCUUCUACUUACAUUAAUACAAAAAAAGAGCUGUUUACCCAAGUCAAGGCUUACUCUGAUUUCUCCAAAUAAUCCAAGCCACAAUGUUAAUGUCGGACUAACAAAACUCUAUUGAGAUUCAAUUGGGGCGAGUAAAUAUUCAUUGGGAACACCCUGAAUAAUGUAAAGUCGAAACAGACCAAGUUUGCAGGUUGACAUAAUGCGACACACGAUCUUUGACCUAAGAUACGCAGGAACAAGUUUAUAUAUAUUAGAGGAUUUAGGAUAUUAAAACCAAAAAUAAAAUUGAUAACAGAUUAUAAUAAAUGAAAAUGUAAAAUUGACUGUAAACUUUGGGUAUGUUAACUACGUAGUAGAACCACAUCACUAUGUUCAAAAAGAUGGCGAAAUGAGUAAAUCAUGCCAAAACAUUAAAAAAAUAAACAGAUGGUUUGUAAUGAACACCUGUGUAGAUACCAAAAUGCUGCAUGACACGUGAUAAUAUAACACUGUCCGAAAGUGUAGAGUUUAACCGUAGAGUGUGCGUUGGUUUCACUUGAGUCAAUAUUAAAAGUGUGACUUUGGUUUUAUCGCUUGGCUGCAGCCUAUAAAUGUAAACAAUCGAAUAAAGUGUAAACUAAAAAGUGAAAAUUAUAUACACAAUUAAAUAUUAAUUAUCAAUGGACACGCACUACUGACUCAUACGUGAGAAAGUCCCUGAACAGAAGACACAUACAGUAUACAAUCACAAUAGAACCCAAUUAGGGAGGUACGUACAAAAGACAAAAACAAAACACUGUCAAAACAAUGUUCCUAGAAAAACUAAUCUUGAAGAAGGAUCAAGUGUGAUAUAAAACGGCAACGAUAAAGUUAUCUUUUGUGUAAAGCGAAUGCGAUAGAAGUGGAAAGGAAUGAAAAAUUGCAAGUAGAAUCGCUCCGGUAUUAAGGUCUUUAGCGAUUUAUUCUAUAUCUUUUGGUGAGUAUAUUGUUAGACCUAUUUACUUUUUAAAUAAUCUGGAAAGGAGUAGAUCAGCAACUUAUUUUCUUAUUUACAAACAUUUAAAACCAAAAAUUAUAGACAUUGAUCUAAAUGAACUAACUAUACUACACUUUUAUGAGGGCAAAUACACUUGGGCCUGCGUUCGUUAUACAGAAUACGAUUAUAUCGAAUUUGUGAUAGGAAAUUUUCAAGUAAUAAAUGCAAGUGCUAUCGAUAAAGACAGCCCCCUAGCAUAUUAGUACCUAACGCAAUCACUGACGAGCGCGGACGUUGAAUGCACGAUGCAUGAAAUUACAAUUCCACGAACAGUAUUACAUCCAAAGUUUUCCCCAACUUUGCUGUAAAACCACCGGGAAAUGAAGUACGGUUCAAUUUGAACGAUGUUUUCAUAAAAACAAAGUUGAUUAUUGCACUUAAAACAAUCUCAAAAGUUAACAGGCUAACAAACACGGAAUGGACCCGUCAAAAUGACAAGUGCCAAAAGCCGUCGCAUCGUCAAAACAUUACAAAGUUAAACAGCUAACAAAUUGUCACAAAAUAAAUUGAAACAAAGAAAGUCGUAAAUAGCCAAAGAUCGAGGAAGCAAGAUUUAUGUCGCGUUUUUAUACAUGUUCAUCUGUUUUUCCAGAAUACACGAGCUAAACGCUAGUACGAUGUACCUAACUUAUGUAGGCUGAGAUUUAGUUUUGAGCCGGACGUGUGUGUAAGUUUUACGUAUAUAGCAACUUUAAACUUCGAAUAGCAAUAGAUUUAACCGUCAUAAAAUCUAGUGUUAGUUCAAGUAAAAUGCAAAUUCAGCAUAAAUAUUAUAAAUAGAAAAAAACCCCUUAAAUACUAAAACUUUACUUUAAAGUCACACGUAAAUCUCUUUCUCGCCGUGUAUCGUUGUUUAUCCUUUCUCGUUGUCGUAGAAAUUUACGUUAAACGUCAUGAGUGGCGUUUCAGUAUUCGGCCAUCAUUAUUUCAAAAGUCAAACUCAUAAGGAAUUGGAUUCGUGUUCAGGAUUUCUUUACAGAUCAAACCUUUCAUGCGUAAAGUGAAAGUUGUCAGAUCCGUAUCAAAAAUAAUGCCGUACAAAAUAAAUGUACCGAAAACCAAUAAAUCAACCGCACAAACCGGCUAAUCACAUAAUCCCUCAUAAUCCUAAAGGUACGUACGUAAUAAAUGUAGCUACUAACAUUGAACACGUUUAUCCUUUCACACAAGCCGGUAGCGUAUCUGGUGCAAAAUUAUACCAAUUGGAGCAAAAUGCUAGUCUUACAAAUACUACAUUUGACCUAUUUCUAGAUGCUGCGGGAUCGAAAGAGUUACCGCGGCCCUGGUACAUAAAAGGCCUACGAAGGAACACGAUGGAUUUUUAUGGUCUCUGCACACAGCGGGCGCGGCGCGGCGCGGCGGGACGGGACGGCAACGCGACACAAUGUACUAGAUCGUCACGUCGCGUCGCGCCGAGCGGGACGGCUCUGUGUGGCGGCCUCCGUAAUAUCUAGUACAUUACAACUGCUCAGCGUCGCGUCGCCGUACCGUCCCGCCGCGCCCCGCCCGCUGUGUGCAGAGACCUUUAGUCGGUAAUAGCCUGACACUCCCUCACCGCUGCUAACCCACAGCGGGAGGGAUCAUUUGAUGAUUUUUGCCAUCGCUAAAAAACCUAUUUCUAGAUUUAGUGAGU